rnacentral:tRNA from 1 species
GUUCAGUUAGUUUAUUUAAAAUGUCAGUUUGUGGGAUUGGCGAAGCAUUGUUGUACUGGGCA